rnacentral:rRNA from 1 species
AUUGAACGCUGGCGGCAGGCUUAACACAUGCAAGUCGAGCGAGCGGCGGACGGGUGAGUAAUGUCUGGGAAACUGCCUGCUGGAGGGGGAUAACUACUGGAAACGGUCGCUACUACCGCCUACCCUCAGCUGUGCCCAGCUGGGAUUAGCUAGUAGGUGGGGUAAUGGCUCACCUAGGCGACGAUCCCUAGCUGGUCUGAGAGGAUGACCAGCCACACGGGAACUGAGACACGGUCCAGAGUCCUAAGGGAGGCAGCAGUGGGGAAUAUUGCACAAUGGGCGCAAGCCUGAUGCAGCCAUGCCGCGUGUGGGAAGAAGGCCUUCGGGUUGUAAAGCACUUUCAGCGAGGAGGCGUUACUCGCAGAAGAAGCACCGGCUAACUCCGUGCCAGCAGCCGCGGUAAUAC